GACGGAUACAGGGGCUGAGGGGAGAGACGGAGCCAGGGGCAGAGGGGAGAGACGGAGCCAGGGGCUGAGUGGAGAGACAGGGGCAGAGACAGGGGCAGAGGGCAGAGACAGGGGCAGAGACAGAGACAGGGGCAGAGGGGAGAGACGGAGCCAGGGGCAGAGGGGAGAGACGGAGCCAGGGGCUGAGUGGAGAGACAGGGGCAGAGAGGAGAGACAGGGGCAGAGAGGAGAGACAGGGGCAGAGAGGAGAGACAGGGGCAGAGAGGAGAGACAGGGGCAGAG
ensembl:lncRNA